CCUACGGGUGGCUGCAGUCGAGAAUCUUCGGCAAUGCGCGAAAGCGUGACCGAGCGACGCCGCGUGCGGGAUGAAGGCCCUCGGGUUGUAAACCGCAAAAGUGGGGAGGAAAUCGCUGGGGGUUCUCCCCCAGCGUUGACCUAUCCACAGUAAGGACGGGCUAAGUUCGUGCCAGCAGCCGCGGUAAUACGAACCGUCCAAACGUUAUUCGGAAUUACUGGGCUUAAAGGGUACGUAGGCGGCGCUGUUAGUCGGGUGUGAAAGCCCUCGGCUCAACCGAGGAAUUGCGCCCGAUACUGCAGUGCUUGAGGGAGACAGAGGUAAGCGGAACUGAUGGUGGAGCGGUGAAAUGCGUUGAUAUCAUCAGGAACACCGGUGGCGAAAGCGGCUUACUGGGUCUCUUCUGACGCUGAGGUACGAAAGCUAGGGGAGCGAAGGGG
rnacentral:rRNA from 1 species